GUGAAUAUUCACAUUUUCUUACAGGUUAGCCGUGAAAGAUAAUUGGCGAGACACUCGAGGUGCGAGUCGGUCGACGAAAGUGUUGCGCCUGCGCAGAUCUGUCGGACAGUUUAGAACCGGUUCAAACGCGGCUCCCUCGGAAAAAUCAUGUAAUUUAAUAUGACGUAUAAUUUUGGAUUGGAACCUCGCAGACAAAGUAUUUCUAUCGAGAUUCAAAUUAUCUUUGAUUGCCAUGGGACACUCGUACGAUGACUUUUAGCGACGGGUUUUCAACAGACAGAUCGAGAGAUCGGCGCGUGCAACUAAGACACUCUUUGGCGGCGCCAUUUUGAAUUGUUGUAGUGCUCAAGAGUUUGUGAAUCGUGGGUGCUGCGUCAUGGACGAUUUUGCUGAAUUUUCCGGACCAGUGGCGUGCAAGAUAUUCUGCACUAGAGAAGGAUUGUCGAGCGAUAGAACACGGGCUGCCACGGGGAUUCAUUGUCAGCGGACUCGACGCGCUAUUCGGAACAAAGCGGUCCUUCUGCGGCCGGAUAAUUGCAAAUUCCAUUUCGACGAAGCAAAACCACGGUUGCAAUGCAGUACGCCCGUCGUGGAAGCGCAUUAGCGAUCAGGCUGAUUGCACUUUUACCUAGAACGGUGACGGUGUUCUCAGGGAGCCUGUUAAGGAACGCGGAAGUAGCAUGCUAAAGUGGAGAAUUCAAAUUGGCUCUGGCUUCGGUCGGCGCAAUAUCUUAUUACUAUUUUCGCGAUCCGCUAUUCAACGUUAUUUUCGUGCGACGUUCCCGGGAUUAGAUUGUUUCGAGCCCCUCGAGCUACUGCACAAAACGUUUCGGAACCACAGAUACCACCCUAGAUAUCUAUCCGGUCGAGGGACACGUUUUGAGAGAUAUUCCCCGUAUUUAUUCUUGCUCAACACUCGACAUAUAUUUUUUUAUCCGUUCUCUAGGGUUCGAACUGCGAUUGUUUCACAUUAAUGUAUCAGUUUUUCUUGUAGAAUACACGAUUGCAGAUUGUAUUGUUCAGA